rnacentral:rRNA from 1 species
GUGGGGAAUCUUGCGCAAUGGGCGAAAGCCUGACGCAGCAACGCCGCGUGAGGGACGAAGGCCUUCGGGUUGUAAACCUCUUUCAGCAGGGAUGAAGCGAAAGUGACAGUACCUGCAGAAGAAGCACCGGCUAACUACGUGCCAGCAGCCGCGGUAAUACGUAGGGUGCAAGCGUUGUCCGGAAUUAUUGGGCGUAAAGAGCUCGUAGGCGGUCUGUCGCGUCGGAUGUGAAAACUCGGAGCUUAACUCCGAGCCUGCAUUCGAUACGGGCAGACUAGAGUUCGGUAGGGGAGACUGGAAUUCCUGGUGUAGCGGUGGAAUGCGCAGAUAUCAGGAGGAACACCGGUGGCGAAGGCGGGUCUCUGGGCCGAUACUGACGCUGAGGAGCGAAAGCGUGGGGAGCGAACAGGAUUAGAAACCCCAGUAGUCC